ACAAUUUCACAUAUUCUUUUUUUUACUCUGUUACACACAUUGUAUACACACUUGUAUUCACAUACUCACCAUACAGAGACACAUACUUUUCUUUCCCAUCAAUUAAUACUACAUACAAAAAGCGAUAUAAAAAUAGAACAGAGGAACAAAUAGGAAUAAAAUCGUUGAAACAAUAGGAAAAAUAGAGUAAAUUGAGGGACAAAAAUCAAAUAGUUAAAGGAAGAGGUAGAGAAAUGAAGAGAGAUCGAGAGAAAAGAAACAACGAGAGAGAGUGAACUAAGGGAGGAGAAUUAAGAGAAAAAUCAGUGGACGAAAAGUGGGGCAAACAGUUUCUUCCGCUCUUUCCGGCGAAGUGUUUCGCCAGAGUUGUUUCUCAACCAUGGAAUCCGGACAACACUCCAGCCGCCGCCGCCCCUAUUUUUCAUCUUUCCCGUCAUCAACAUCUCCGACAACCGCACGCCAGACUAACUAGUGGGCUGCCUGGUCAAACCGCCGAAAACCCUCUCCUAAAAUCGGCAAAAACCACCGGUAAUCACCCAAAAUUCGCGGGUUGAUCCACAAAAAUAGUCACACCAGCGUCUCUCCACCAAACGGCACCACCAAACCGUCCCGUCACCAUCUUCAGCGAACUCCACCAGAUCCAACCUUUUCUCGCCAGAACCAUCCAACACCAACGCCGCUCCUCCCUCUCCCCUUCCCCGACGUCAGUCACCAACAUUAACUCCAUGCGCCACCCUUUUUUUCGUCAGUGGAAAAUAUCUUGUUCGACGUCGCUAGAUCUGUUCCGUCUUCAUCAAUCACAGAACCCCAUUUUGAAAUAGACUUUUGUUUAAAUAAUGGUUAUGGGUAGUUUUAUACUUAUAAUUGUUUUAUUUUAUUUAUUUAGUUUGUUGAUUCAUCAUUAUAAUAAAUCUUUAUAAUUAUUUUGUGAAAU
rnacentral:lncRNA from 1 species